AGAUUGAACGCUGGCGGCAUGCCUAACACAUGCAAGUCGAACGGGAGUAGUAAUACUCUAGUGGCGGACGGGUGAGGAAUACGUAGGAAUUUGCCCUUAAGUGGGGGAUAACCCGGGGAAACCCGGAUUAAUACCGCAUGACCUCGAAAGAGCAAAGUGGGGAUCGCAAGACCUCACGCUUUGGAGAAGCCUACGUCGGAUUAGCUAGUUGGUGAGGUAAUGGCUCACCAAGGCGACGAUCCGUAACUGGUCUGAGAGGAUGAUCAGUCACACCGGAACUGAGACACGGUCCGGACUCCUACGGAGGCAGCAGUGGGGAAUAUUGGACAAUGGGCGC
rnacentral:rRNA from 1 species